GACGAACGCUGGCGGCGUGCCUAAUACAUGCAAGUUGAGCGAUGAAGAUUGGUGCUUGCACCAAUUUGAAGAGCAGCGAACGGGUGAGUAACGCGUGGGGAAUCUGCCUUUGAGCGGGGGACAACAUUUGGAAACGAAUGCUAAUACCGCAUAACAACUUUAAACAUAAGUUUUAAGUUUGAAAGAUGCAAUUGCAUCACUCAAAGAUGAUCCCGCGUUGUAUUAGCUAGUUGGUGAGGUAAAGGCUCACCAAGGCGAUGAUACAUAGCCGACCUGAGAGGGUGAUCGGCCACAUUGGGACUGAGACACGGCCCAAACUCCUACGGGAGGCAGCAGUAGGGAAUCUUCGGCAAUGGACGAAAGUCUGACCGAGCAACGCCGCGUGAGUGAAGAAGGUUUUCGGAUCGUAAAACUCUGCUGGUAGAGAAGAACGUUGGUGAGAGUGGAAAGCUCAUCAAGUGACGGUAACUACCCAGAAAGGGACGGCUAACUACGUG
rnacentral:rRNA from 1 species